GUCCUGAGCUGGACCAGAGCCCUCCUCCAGAAACCCCUGCGUCCGCCACGGCCCAGGUUAAAUGGAAACCACCCUUGGGAACUGGAUGCCUGUGUAGCUGUUCUACCAUAUCAGUGUAUUGCAAUGAGUGGGGGAGGAGAGCAGCUGGAUAUCCUGAGUGUUGGAAUCCUAGUGAAAGAAAGAUGGAAAGUGUUGAGAAAGAUUGGGGGUGGGGGCUUUGGAGAAAUUUACGAUGCCUUGGACAUGCUCACCAGGGAAAAUGUUGCACUGAAGGUGGAAUCAGCUCAACAACCAAAACAAGUUCUGAAAAUGGAAGUUGCUGUUUUGAAAAAGCUGCAAGGAGGCUGAGGCAGGAGAAUCACUUGAACCCGAGAGGCCUGAGGUUGCUGUGAGCCGAGAUUGCGCCAUUGGACUCCAGCCUGGGGAAAGACCAUGUUUGUAGAUUUAUUGGCUGUGGGAGGAAUGAUCGAUUCAACUAUGUGGUCAUGCAGUUGCAGGGUCGGAAUCUGGCAGAUCUUCGCCGUAGCCAGUCCCGAGGCACAUUCACCAUUAGUACCACUCUCCGGCUGGGUAGACAGAUUUUGGAGUCUAUUGAAAGCAUUCAUU
rnacentral:lncRNA from 10 species